AAGUCCCCGCGAUCUCUUUUAAUGACGGUUUUACCGUGACGGAGCUGGCUCACCGGUCACCGUCACUGUCCAUCCAAAAAUGGCGUCGAGACUAGCGAUGCUGAAACGCUCCGCCGCAGUCGAAUACGGUUCUGUUUUGGGGCUGCGGAGAUGGGUUCAUGCUUCAGCACUCCAUCCACCGUUGGAUGCUUCCAUCAGUCAACCCCCACCGUCGCAGCUGUUGGUUUUACCCGAGUUCGAUCUCCCAGACAGCAAUAUUAACAACUUCGGGUUUGGGUUCCCGAUUUUCCUUUUUGGAGGAUCUUUGGAGCUCAUGGCUGUCCCAAAGAGAAAAGUGAGUCGCCAUAAGAGAGGCAUAAGAAAUGGACACAAGGGUUUGAAACCCGUUCCGGUCAUUAUUAGAUGCAAGAGCUGAGGUCGUGUUAAGUUACCGCACUUCUUUUGUUGCAGUGGAGCUCAGGGACUGAACAGCGAACAUGGUGAUUCGCCCGGUUAAUUGGUAUUGGCCUUCUGACUCGGACUGCUCCAACUCUUCCUGGAUCCACUCAGCCUGCUCCAACUCAUCCGAUCCUUGUCCCCAAGGAUCGAAACUUGGAAACUGAGGCCUCAGAAUGGUAUGAGCGUCUCAAGUAUCGUGAUUUGAGUUCAAGUUCAUCCAUAGUACAAGUAAAUUCUGCCAGUAAGGUUGCAAUCUUAGUUGGUAUUGGCCUUCUGACUCGGACUGCUCCAACUCUUCCUGGAUCCACUCAGCCUGCUCCAACUCAUCCGGUAAGUUAAUCAUAUG